rnacentral:lncRNA from 1 species
GGAAAAUGGCGGUUUGCUAGGCUUCACGGGUCGGGGCUAAUUUGAACUGCAGAUUUGGGAACCUUCGGAGACGAAUUGGAUUAAGGUCCAAAUAACAAAGUUGUAGCAGGGACUUCAUUCUCCAACUCCCAUAAAGGAAUUUCUGGACGUUCAGCUCAACUUGCCAAAGAUAAGUCCAUCCUAAGGCGUGAGAUCAGACUGAUUUUCCAGACUUAGCCAUAAUGGCUAAAGGAGUUUGAGUUGACCAGAUCAGGGAACUUGUCUUAAGAUUAAACUCGGCUUAUUUAAAUCUAGGUCGUUACAGCAAGCCCCAAUCCCUGCACACCAGCCGCACCACUAGCACCCCUCCGGUUUUAUCCACCCACGCCCAGAGCCUCGCCUCACUCCCUCGCUCCCUCCCGAC